CCUACGGGUGGCAGCAGUGGGGGAUAUUGCACAAUGGGGGAAACCCUGAUGCAGCGACGCCGCGUGGGUGAAGAAGCGCCUCGGCGCGUAAAGCCCUGUCAGCAGGGAAGAAAAUGACGGUACCUGAAGAAGAAGCCCCGGCUAACUACGUGCCAGCAGCCGCGGUAAUACGUAGGGGGCAAGCGUUAUCCGGAUUUACUGGGUGUAAAGGGGGCGCAGACGGCGAUGCAAGCCAGGAGUGAAAGCCCGGGGCCCAACGUGGGAACUGCCUUUGAAACUGGCAAACUGGAGUGUGUGAGAGGAUAGUGGAAUUCCAGGUGUAGGAGUGAAAUCCGUAGAUAUCUGGAGGAACAUCAGUGGCGAAGGCGACUAUCUGGCACAUAACUGACGCUGAGGAGCGAAAGCGUGGGUAGCAAACAGGAUUAGAUACCCGAGUAGUC
rnacentral:rRNA from 1 species